AUGGCCUUGGCCCUCUCUCGCUCCCUCAUGCUGCUCUUUCUGUGUUUUGGGAUCUCUGGAUCUUCGCUGCUCUUCACCAGGUGCCACAGACGAAGCCCCUCCUCCUCCUCGCCCUCUAGCAUCGGCGUUUCUAAGACUGCUACAGCACAAGACCAAAGCUGGACACUGACGGACUGACUGCAGGACAACACGGUGUCAGACAUCCGGCCAGAAAACACACAGAACAUGAUCCAUGGAUGAAGACAGUGUGUGAUCUGGUGUCCAAGGUGAGGAAGGAUCCACUCAGCAUCACCUCAUCAACCUCACCCACAACUUGACCAACAUAGCUGUGAACUGAAAUGACUCUUAUUGUUAUUUAAAGUUAAUUACAUAUACUAGUUGUAUGUGUAGAAAUGUAUUCAGUGUGUUUCCAGGUGUGUGUGUUCAAAUGUUUACUGUCUCCAUCUCUCAGUAGCUGGAUGUCUGCAGCUCCCACAUGUUUUAGCAGCUAGAAUAAUUUGUUGUACCAAAGUUCUGCUAAACUGUGACAGAGACGUUUUGAAGUUGAUGUAAUAACUUGUGUUAUUAUUUGUCUUUGUUAUUCACUUGAAAAGUUUGAUCUUUGAUUGAUGGAGUAACGUGGGUUUCUUAAAGGGAUUAGUUAUAAUAUCAGAUCAAUAAAUGCUUGUUCAAUAUUUGUACACUUGAAUAAAUACUAUUCAAACGCAGAGACAGUUCUUUACAGUUUACGGUGUUCGGGAGUAGUUACACUGACACAGUCUCACAAUUACAACUAUAAUGUUCAUGUGGGGUGAAAAUGAGUGUGACACUCCUGUUCUAGAUGGUUAGUUAUGUGUUUAUCCUGGGUUGAAUGUUGUCCUUGUGGUGUUGGUUCUGGGUUCUAUGUGUUCUAAAUUGCUCUAUAUGUUGUUAAUUACAAGUGCUAUAUGGGAUUCUUUGAUUUGGUUCUGGUUUCUAGGUGUUCUAAAUGUUUCUCUUUGUCUUGGGUUGUUGGUCUUCUACAUGUUCUCAGUGUUCCAGGGGUUCUAGGUGUUGCGCUUGUCCUGGGUUCACUGUGUUCUAGAUGGUUUGAACCAGAUUCUAUGAGCUAUGUUUUCACAUUGAUUCUAGGAUUCAAAUGACUUUGAUAUUCCUCCUGUUCUAAGGUUCUGUUUGUGGAUGUGCCACAUGUUCUAUGUGUUCUGGAUGAAUUGA